rnacentral:rRNA from 1 species
CAAUAGCGUAUAUUAAAGUUGUUGCAGUUAAAAAGCUCGUAGUUGGAUUUCUGGUGGGAGCGAUCGGUCUGGCGCUUAGCGCGAGUACUUGCAUCGUCUCCGGCCAUCCUUGGGGAGAGUCUGUCUGGCAUUAGGUUGUCGGGCAGAGGAUCCUCAUCGUUUUCUGUGAAAAAAUUAGAGUGUUCAAAGCAGGCUUAUGCCGUUGAAUAUAUUAGCAUGGAAUAAUAAGAUAGGACUUUGGUACUAUUUUGUUGGUUUGCGCACCAAAGUAAUGAUUAAUAGGGACAGUUGGGGGUAUUCGUAUUCCGUUGUCAGAGGUGAAAUUCUUGGAUUUACGGAAGACGAACUACUGCGAAAGCAUUUACCAAGGAUGUUUUCAUUAA